rnacentral:misc_RNA from 1 species
UUCUUCAAUAUCUCCAUCCCCACACGUAUAUUCAUUUUUCUCUCUCUCUUGAUAGCUUUUUUCACAGCAUACAGCAUCAAAAUCAUUUGCUUUCUUUUUCUAAAAAACUCUUUUUUUUCCUUUCUAUUUCUCACUUUGCCCCUCGAUCUUCGCUUCUUUGUCCCCUUUUUUCUGAUUCCUCUGUCGAAACAAACCGAAACUUUUCCAUUUAUAUAGAAAAUAUACGCGGUUUUUGUUACUACUUUG